rnacentral:rRNA from 1 species
AACGAACGUUGGCGGCAUGCCUAACACAUGCAAGUCGAACGAUGGUCUUCGGAUCAUAGUGGCGCACGGGUGCGUAACGCGUGGGAAUCUGCCCUUGGGUUCGGAAUAACAGUUGGAAACGACUGCUAAUACCGGAUGAUGUCGAUAAGACCAAAGAUUUAUCGCCCGAGGAUGAGCCCGCGUCGGAUUAGCUAGUUGGUGGGGUAAAGGCCUACCAAGGCGACGAUCCGUAGCUGGUCUGAGAGGAUGAUCAGCCACACUGGGACUGAGACACGGCCCAGACUCCUACGGGAGGCAGCAGUGGGGAAUAUUGGACAAUGGGCGCAAGCCUGAUCCAGCAAUGCCGCGUGAGUGAUGAAGGCCUUAGGGUUGUAAAGCUCUUUUACCCGGGAAGAUAAUGACUGUACCGGGAGAAUAAGCCCCGGCUAACUCCGUG